rnacentral:lncRNA from 1 species
GCCUGCUCUGACAGCUUCUCAGGCAGGCUGUGCACUGCUGGUUCAUCUGCCUGGUUCACCAUGCUGAUUCGUACCAACAUGGAAAUGGGGCCUGACCACAGAGAAAAGUGAGUCUUCAUGGACCUCAAGGUCAUUUGAAAUGAACAAUAGAUUAGUGGGUUGUUGAGCUAUUUUGACAGUGCAGAUUUUGAUAUUCAGCAAGGAAUUUAAAAAUAGACAAUGAGAGAGAGAGAUCUGUUCCUGGCCUCUGAGACUACAUCUUGAUGACCUCCAAUCAGACUCACUUCUUGUACCUCAAGAUGUUUCACAACUGGUUUUGCUGAGAAGCCAAAGGAGUUCAUGAAUAUGAGGAUGAUGGAAGGCAUCGUUGGAAGGCUAUCAAAAGAAAGUUCUUUUACUUCAAACACCAAUCAUUCUAUAACAUCUGCGAU